AUUGAACGCUGGCGGCAGGCUUAACACAUGCAAGUCGAGCGGGGGAAGGUAGCUUGCUACCGGACCUAGCGGCGGACGGGUGAGCAAUGCUUAGGAAUCUGCCUAUUAGUGGGGGACAACAACUCGAAAGGGAUGCUAAUACCGCAUACGUCCUACGGGAGAAAGCAGGGGAUCACUUGUGACCUUGCGCUAAUAGAUGAGCCUAAGUCGGAUUAGCUAGUUGGUGGGGUAAAGGCCUACCAAGGCGACGAUCUGUAGCGGGUCUGAGAGGAUGAUCCGCCACACUGGGACUGAGACACGGCCCAGACUCCUACGGGAGGCAGCAGUGGGGAAUAUUGGACAAUGGGGGGAACCCUGAUCCAGCCAUGCCGCGUGUGUGAAGAAGGCCUUAUGGUUGUAAAGCACUUUAAGCGAGGAGGAGGCUCUUUUGGUUAAUACCCAAGAUGAGUGGACGUUACUCGCAGAAUAAGCACCGGCUAACUCUGUGCCAGCCGCCGCGGUAA
rnacentral:rRNA from 1 species